AACGAACGCUGGCGGCAUGCCUAACACAUGCAAGUCGAACGAGACCUUCGGGUCUAGUGGCGCACGGGUGCGUAACGCGUGGGAACCUGCCCUUAGGUUCGGAAUAACUCCCCGAAAGGGGUGCUAAUACCGGAUAAUGUCUUCGGACCAAAGAUUUAUCGCCUUUGGAUGGGCCCGCGUUGGAUUAGCUAGUUGGUAGGGUAAAAGCCUACCAAGGCGACGAUCCAUAGCUGGUCUGAGAGGAUGAUCAGCCACACUGGGACUGAGACACGGCCCAGACUCCUACGGGAGGCAGCAGUGGGGAAUAUUGGACAAUGGGCGAAAGCCUGAUCCAGCAAUGCCGCGUGAGUGAUGAAGGCCUUAGGGUUGUAAAGCUCUUUUACCCGGGAUGAUAAUGAGAGUACCGGGAGAAUAGGCUCCGGCUAACUCCGUG
rnacentral:rRNA from 1 species